AUGCUCACUUCAGCAGCACGUAUACUAACAUUGGAAUGAUGCCAAGAAGAUUAGCUUAGCCCCUACACAAGUAUGACAUGCAAAUUUGGGAAGAAAACUAAAAAAUA
ensembl:snRNA U6 U6 spliceosomal RNA